ACGCUGGCGGCGUGCUUAACACAUGCAAGUCGAACGAAAAUACCAAGCUUGCUUGGUUGAUUAGUGGCGAACGGGUGAGUAACACGUGAGUAGCCUGCCCCUUACUUUCCUGGAUAACUGCUCGAAAGGGUAGCUAAUACGGGAUAUUCUGACCAUCCUGCAUGGGUUGGUUUGGAAAGGUUGUUUUUCUGGUAAGGGAUGGGCUCGCGGCCUAUCAGCUUGUUGGUGGGGUGAUGGCCUACCAAGGCUUUGACGGGUAGCCGGCCUGAGAGGGUGGACGGUCACACUGGGACUGAGAUACGGCCCAGACUCCUACGGGAGGCAGCAGUGGGGAAUAUUGCACAAUGGGCGCAAGCCUGAUGCAGCGGCGCCGCGUGAGGGAUGAAGGCCUUCGGGUUGUAAACCUCUUUCGUCAGGGAACAAGGCACUGCUUUGGUGGUGUUGAGGGUACCUGGAUAAGAAGCGCCGGCUAACUACGUGCCAGCAGCCGCGGUAAUACGUAGGGCGCAAGCGUUGUCCGGAAUUAUUGGGCGUAAAGAGCUCGUAGGCGGCUGGUCGCGUCUGUCGUGAAAACUUCCGGCUCAACCGGGGGCUUGCGGUGGGUACGGGCCGGCUAGAGUGCGGUAGGGGUAACUGGAACUCCUGGUGUAGCGGUGGGAUGCGCAGAUAUCAGGAAGAACACCGAUGGCGAAGGCAGGUUACUGGGCCGUUACUGACGCUGAGGAGCGAAAGCGUGGGGAGCGAACAGGAUUAGAUACCCUGGUAGUCCACGCCGUAAACGUUGGGCACUAGGUGUGAGGCUCCUUUCCGGGGGUUUUGCGCCGUAGCUAACGCAUUAAGUGCCCCGCCUGGGGAGUACGGCCGCAAGGCUAAAACUCAAAGGAAUUGACGGGGGCCCGCA
rnacentral:rRNA from 1 species